ensembl:lncRNA
AUGAUGAAUAAGUCUGACUUGAAUGUACUCCUAGUUCCGAUAGCUUCAAAUAUAGUCAUAAAUAAAUUAAAUGGAAACUUAAAUUUGUUUAAUGAUAGUGAUUAUCCGUUAUUAACAUUUAAGUAUUUAACACCAACGUUUGAGUUGGUUUGUAUAGGUAUAAUGGUGUGUAACUCAAAAUUAAGGCUUCAGGACUACAUACAAAACUGGUUCAUUCCGCAAAUAAAACACAGAAGGAUAGUAAGAGAAGAUACAGAAAUACAAUUAGAUGAUAUCGACUUAUAUGAAGAGUCGGAGGUAUACUGUUUAGAAAAAAUAAGAAAAAGUUCCUGUUGUAUUAAAAAGUUGUUAAAGAGAUAUAAUACCACAGUUGUAAUUCAGUUUAAAAAAUAUGCCAGUAAAAAUGUUAGUAUUAUUACUACUCUUACUGCUCUUCCUGUUAAUAAUAAUAAUUAUAACAGCAUUUUUAGUGUAAGUAAUAAUGCAAUUGUUUCAGAUGAAUUAAAUAUAAAAUGUGUUGAAAAUACAAAUUUAAAUCAACAAAAGUUUUGUCAAAUAUGUAGAAAUAAUUACAUAUGUAAGUGUAAUAAAAUAAAAAAAAGCGAGUUAAAAAAAAAAAUUAAUUAUAUAAAACAAAAUAUAACUAUAUACAAAUCGAUUAAAAAAUGGAAUGAAAUAUAUAGUAAAAUUUUAGGACGAUGUAAAGAAAAAACAAUUGAAAAUGGAAAAAACGAUGAAAAUGUAGAAAUAAAACAAAUAUUUAACAAAAACACGGAUGGCAGUAGCUCAAAAAAUUUAAUUGAUACGAUAUUUGUAAAUAAAAACGAAUUACAUUUAUCUGAUUUUUCAGAUAUUUUAUCCAAAAUGUAUAAUAAUAUAGACGUUUCAAAUGAAUUAAAUAUAAUGUAUAAUUCGGAUGAUUCCCUUAGUAGUUGUACUAGUUCAGAACAUAAUUAUGAUACUUCAUCUGAUAUAUCUGUAGGUGAGUGUGCUUUAUUUGAACCAGAAGUGGAUUGGUGUAAUGUUGAAGAUAAUAAAACAUUUAUAAAUGAAAAAAACAAGAGCAUUUAUAGAAGCAGAUGGUAAAAAUUCAGUAAAAUCGACAAAUGAGCUUUUGGAUAAUGUUAAUGGAGUUUUAAAAAAAAGGAAUAAUACUAGUAGAGUUAAUAUAACAAAUUAUUAUGCUAACAUUAGAUAUAUAUUUAAAAACAUAAUAGAUAUAGAAAAAUUAAUAUUUCACGAAUUUGAUACUAUAACAAAAACACGUGUUGAUAUUGUGUAUGAUAUACAAAAACGUUUUGAAUUAAUUUGUCCAAGUUUGUAUGAUAAACUGCACCAAAAAUAUACUAAAGUAUGUCAACAUAUAAAUGAUCAAGUUAUGAAACAAAUAAAAACUGAGCUUAGUAGUAAUAAUAUUAUUUC